rnacentral:rRNA from 1 species
GAGACGAUUGAAAGCUUGCUUUUGAGAGUCGAGUGGCAAACGGGUGAGUAACGCGUAGACAACCUGCCGCAAAGAUGGGGACAACAGUUCGAAAGGACUGCUAAUACCGAAUGUUGUCAGAUUCCCGCAUGGGAGACUGAUUAAAGAUGGCCUCUACUUGUAAGCUAUCGCUUUGCGAUGGGUCUGCGUCUGAUUAGCUGGUUGGUGGGGUAACGGCCUACCAAGGCGACGAUCAGUAGCCGGUCUGAGAGGAUGAACGGCCACAUUGGAACUGAGACACGGUCCAGACUCCUACGGGAGGCAGCAGUGGGGAAUCUUCCGCAAUGGGCGAAAGCCUGACGGAGCAACGCCGCGUGAGUGAAGAAGGGUUUCGGCUCGUAAAGCUCUGUUGACGGGGACGAAUGUGCGAGAUGCGAAUAGUUUCUUGCAAUGACGGUACCCGUCGAGGAAGCCACGGCUAACUACGUGCCAGCAGCCGCGGUAAUACGUAGGUGGCGAGCGUUGUCCGGAAUUAUUGGGCGUAAAGGGAGCGCAUGCGGAGGAGGAACACCAGUGGCGAAGGCGGCUUUCUGGACUGUAACUGACGCUGAGGCUCGAAA